rnacentral:rRNA from 1 species
AGCGGCGGACGGGUGAGUAACGCGUGGGUAACCUGUCUCAUACAGGGGGAUAACAGUUGGAAACGGCUGCUAAUACCGCAUAAGCGCACAGUACCGCAUGGUACGGUGUGAAAAACUCCGGUGGUAUGAGAUGGACCCGCGUCUGAUUAGCUAGUUGGUGGGGUAACGGCCUACCAAGGCGACGAUCAGUAGCCGACCUGAGAGGGUGACCGGCCACAUUGGGACUGAGACACGGCCCAA